rnacentral:rRNA from 1 species
GAUGAACGCUGGCUACAGGCUUAACACAUGCAAGUCGAGGGGAAACGACGGGGAAGCUUGCUUCCCCGGGCGUCGACCGGCGCACGGGUGAGUAACGCGUAUCCAACCUGCCUCUGACUGAGGGAUAACCCGCCGAAAGUCGGCCUAAUACCUCAUGGCAUCGUCUUCGGGCAUCCAACGACGAUUAAAGAUUUCAUCGGUCAGAGAUGGGGAUGCGUCUGAUUAGCUUGUUGGCGGGGUAACGGCCCACCAAGGCGACGAUCAGUAGGGGUUCUGAGAGGAAGGUCCCCCACAUUGGAACGGAGACACGGGCCAAACUCCUACGGGAGGCAGCAGUGAGGGAUAUUGGUCAAUGGGCGAGAGCCUGAACCAGCCAAGUAGCGUGCAGGAUGACGGCCCUAUGGGUUGUAAACUGCUUUUAGGCGGGGAUAAAGUGAGGGACGUGUCCUUCAUUGCAGGUACCGCAUGAAUAAGGACCGGCUAAUUCCGUG